CAGCAGCCACGGUAAUACGGAGGGUGCAAGCGUUACUCGGAAUCACUGGGCGUAAAGGACGCGUAGGCGGAUUAUCAAGUCUCUUGUGAAAUCUAACGGCUUAACCGGUAAACUGCUUGGGAAACUGAUAAUCUAGAGUAAGGGAGAGGCAGAUGGAAUUCUUGGUGUAGGGGUAAAAUCCGUAGAUAUCAAGAAGAAUACCUAUUGCGAAGGCGAUCUGCUGGAACUUAACUGACGCUAAUGCGUGAAAGCGUGGGGAGCAAACAGGAUUAGAUACCCGUGUAGUCCCUGUCUCUUAUAC
rnacentral:rRNA from 1 species